rnacentral:misc_RNA from 1 species
CCGAGUUAGGGUCUCAAAUGGCCCGACCUCCAACCCUUUGUUUAUUAUACCAUGUUGCUUUGGCGGGCCUGCCUUUCGGGGCUGCCGGGGGCACUACUGCCCCUGACCCGCGCCUGCCAGGAGCCUUCCUUAAAUUCUGUGUGAAACAGUGUUGUCUGAGUCUCAAUAUCAAAUAAUAAA